GCUAGUGUGGCAUAGUGGUCUGAGCACUAGACUGAGACUCUGGAGACCAGGGUUCGAUUCUCCGCUCAGCC